rnacentral:lncRNA from 1 species
GGUUCCUGGAGAGCCGGCUGGCACGGACAGACUCAUGUGAGGGCAAGUGGCUGAUCGUGCGUCGGAUGGGUCCAGCAAAGGAGAGAAAGCUUCGGUGCGCGCGCGCUCGCCAGGGAAAGGGUGACAGGGGUGGACCGAGAGGGAGAGAGAGAGGGAGAGAACAAAGGAAGAGAGAGGGUUUCCGCAGGGGCGGUGAGUCCUGGCGGAAGUCCUGAGGCAGAGGAGGUGCCAGGGGUUUGGGUUUCCCGGUCGUGUCGGGGUGUGGCGCAGGUUGCCCCAGUGGGCCUGAAUGUGCCUCCGUGGGGCACCUUGUUGCCGUGUUGGGGGGCGGGGAGCCGGCCUUGGGGAUCCAUCUUUCGGGCCCUGGGACGUGGGAGAAGAAUGCCGGGGCCUCUCUCUGUGCCCCUGGCACGCCUCUGUGCAGGCCGGGCCUGCACCGCCCCCCCCCCGGCCCCCAGGCAGGGUCCGUGUGGCUGCAGACACCCAGAGAGAGGAGGCUGGGGAGGCUGGGGAGCCGUGGCAGCCCGAUGCAGUGCGGGUCUCCAGGUGGAGGGGCCCUGGUCCCUGGCGCCAGCGUGGCCCUUCCUCCUUGUGGAAACCCUUGUGGUGUGUGUGCUCUCUCGCCCUGACCCAGGAGAGCAGCAUGGCGGACCCCUGAUCUUGUGGCGUGCCACGCGCGAGGCCGAGGAGCUCCCGCAGCCCAGUGGGCGUGGCGUCCUUGUCGCGGCUCUGUGGAGACCUGGCGAUGGAGAGCAGCAUGGCGGACCCCUGAUCUUGUGGCGUGCCACCGCGCGAGGCCGAGGAGCUCCCGCAGACCAGUGGGCGUGGCGUCCUUGUCGCGGCUCUGUGGAGACCUGGCGAUGGAGAGCAGCAUGGCGGACCCCUGAUCUUGUGGCGUGCCACCGCGCGAGGCCGAGGAGCUCCCGCAGACCAGUGGGCGUGGCGUCCUUGUCGCGGCUCUGUGGAGACCUGGCGAUGGUGAGCGGCCCCUGUCCUCAGUGGUGGAGAACUCGCCCUUGGGGCGCUCGUCUGUCCGGAGCCCCGGGCCAGCCCCGCUUCUCGCGGGCUUUGGCCCCGGCAGGCCAGCUCCGGGGGCGUGAGGGGGAGCGUCCCGUCCUGCCCAGUGGCUCGUCUGUCUGGGCACGCCCCCAAACGCUGCCGUGAUGGAGCGGGUGGGAUGUCCAGGUGCGGAGGCCGUGAAUUUGCCUUGCGGCGGCGGAGCCCGUGCUCGGAUCGAUGAUGACUCCCUCUAAAGCAUUCCUUGGAAAUCUGAACAAAAUGAGUGAGAACUCACUACCGUCUCCUCAUCGAAACUGAGGUCCGGCACGUGGCGGCCACCGGGGGCUCGGGGGCCCUUGGCCUUGGGGCCUCUGUGUGUCAGCAGCCACUCGGGUGAGGUCUGGGGAAGGCGGCCGCCUGCCGGGCCCAGGAAGCAUGGGGCCCGUCGCCCGGCGCUGGCCUCGGGGGAGAUGCCGCGUGCCCGAGCGUGCUGGAGAUCCCGGGCGGCCUCCCGCCGGCCUUGGGGGGUUUCGCAAGCCGUCGCGGGGGCCGAAAUUUGGGCCCGGCCCGCGAGGCAAGUGUGCGGCCCUAGGGCCCCAGGGGGCGUCCUGGCCCAGGCCGGGCGCCCUUCUCAGGAUGCUGUGGGGAGACGGGAUCCCGGCAGGGUAGUGUUCUCUUUCUGCUCUGGGGACCCCUGAGGGCCACCUGCUGCAGGGGGUCUGUGGUAGCGGGGGCCCUUGGAUCAGGGCCGUCCCCCAUGGGAGAGGGGGGAGCCUGGGAACCCCUGAGGGCGCUCCCCUGGGACGUCCAGGGAUGUUGGGGCGGAGGCUGGGGCUGGGUGGCGAGAAGGGGGCAGCUGAAGUGGUGAGCGACAGGCGGGCAGAGGGAGCCUGCCGGGGACGUGGGUGGACAGGCCCACGUCUGGAUGGGCGAGGGGCUCUGGAGGAGGUGCCCUGGCCUCAAGUGGGAUGGCGUCAGCGGCUGUGGGAGGCCCGGGUAGGGAAGGACCGCGCGGGCAGGGGCGGGGACGGUCUUGCAUGUGGCCUCUCCUCUGGGAGGCGUGGCUCCCCGUGGGGGUCUGGGGAAGGCAGCCGCCAGGUCCCUGGGCCGCGGCGCGGACCGCACCUUGGGGGGGUCCUUUGGGAGGCCACGGGUCGGAGUCCUU